rnacentral:rRNA from 1 species
AGAGUUUGAUCCUGGCUCAGGAUGAACGCUAGCGGCAGGCCUAAUACAUGCAAGUCGAGGGGCAGCACAGGUAGCAAUACUGGGUGGCGACCGGCAAACGGGUGCGGAACACGUACGCAACCUUCCUUUAAGCGGGGAAUAGCCCAUAGAAAUGUGGAUUAAUACCCCAUAGGAUAUUGGAGUGGCAUCACUUUAACAUUAAAGCUCCGGCACUUAAAGAUGGGCGUGCGGCUGAUUAGGUAGUUGGCGGGGUAACGGCCCACCAAGGCGACGAUCAGUAACUGGUCUGAGAGGAUGAUCAGUCACACGGGCACUGAGACACGGGCCCGACUCCUACGGGAGGCAGCAGUAAGGAAUAUUGGUCAAUGGACGCAAGUCUGAACCAGCCAUGCCGCGUGCAGGAAGAAGGCCUUCUGGGUUGUAAACUGCUUUUGCCAGGGGAUAAAACGGAUCUGCGGAUCUAAUUGAAGGUACCUGGUGAAUAAGCCACGGCUAACUACGUGCCAGCAGCCGCGGUAAUACGUAGGUGGCAAGCGUUGUCCGGAUUUAUUGGGUUUAAAGGGUGCGUAGGCGGUCCUAUAAGUCAGUGCUGAAAUAUCCCGGCUUAACCGGGAGGGUGGCAUUGAUACUGCAGGACUUGAGUAGAGUUGAAGUGGGCGGAAUUGACGGUGUAGCGGUGAAAUGCUUAGAUAUCGUCAAGAACACCGAUAGUGAAGACAGCUCACUAAGCUCAAACUGACGCUGAGGCACGAAAGUGUGGGGAUCAAACAGGAUUAGAUACCCUGGUAGUCCACACUGUAAACGUUGAUUACUCGCUGUUGGCGAUAUACAGCCAGCGGCCAAGCGCAAGCGAUAAGUAAUCCACCUGGGGAGUACGCCGGCAACGGUGAAACUCAAAGGAAUUGACGGGGGCCCGCACAAGCGGAGGAGCAUGUGGUUUAAUUCGAUGAUACGCGAGGAACCUUACCCGGGCUUGAAAGUUAGUGAAUAGAGCAGAGACGCUCUAGUCCUUCGGGACACGAAACUAGGUGCUGCAUGGCUGUCGUCAGCUCGUGCCGUGAGGUGUUGGGUUAAGUCCCGCAACGAGCGCAACCCCUAUCUUUAGUUGCCAGCACGUAAUGGUGGGGACUCUAAACAGACUGCCUAUGCAAAUAGAGAGGAAGGAGGGGACGACGUCAAGUCAUCAUGGCCCUUACGUCCGGGGCUACACACGUGCUACAAUGGGCAGUACAGAGGGCAGCUACCUGGUAACAGGAUGCCAAUCUCAAAAAGCUGUUCACAGUUCGGAUCGGGGUCUGCAACUCGACCCCGUGAAGUUGGAUUCGCUAGUAAUCGCAGAUCAGCAAUGACGCGGUGAA